rnacentral:rRNA from 1 species
AAACGGCCCGGCGGCCGCUAUAAUGCAGUCGAGCGAUGGAUUAAGAGCUUGCUCUUAUGAAGUUAGCGGCGGACGGGUGAGUAACACGUGGGUAACCUGCCCAUAAGACUGGGAUAACUCCGGGAAACCGGGGCUAAUACCGGAUAACAUUUUGAACUGCAUGGUUCGAAAUUGAAAGGCGGCUUCGGCUGUCACUUAUGGAUGGACCCGCGUCGCAUUAGCUAGUUGGUGAGGUAACGGCUCACCAAGGCAACGAUGCGUAGCCGACCUGAGAGGGUGAUCGGCCACACUGGGACUGAGACACGGCCCAGACUCCUACGGGAGGCAGCAGUAGGGAAUCUUCCGCAAUGGACGAAAGUCUGACGGAGCAACGCCGCGUGAGUGAUGAAGGCUUUCGGGUCGUAAAACUCUGUUGUUAGGGAAGCGCACUGAGAGGGAUAGCCCACUGACUUGAACGUCAGUCUACGAGUCACGGAUGGAUUCGCAUGACGAAGUCAGCGGACACGUCGCUGGUGAGAGCUUCGGUCGUAACUCGUGUAAGAGAACAGGCUAGUGAUUAGCUGCACUGACGGUACUACAGAAAGGCACGCUACUACGUGCAGCAGCGCGUAUACGUAGUGGCAGCGUAUCCGAUAUGGCGUAAGCGCGCGCAGUGUUUCUAAGUCUGAUGUGAAAGCCCACGGCUCACCCGUGAGGUCAUUGGAACUGGGAGACUUGAGUGCAGAAGAGAAAGUGAAUUCCAUGUGUAGCGGUGAAAUGCGUAGAGAUAUGGAGGAACACCAGUGGGCGAAGGCGACUUCUGGUCUGUAACUGACACUGAGGCGCGAAAGCGUGGGGAGCAAACAGGAUUAGAUACCCUGGUAGUCCACGCCGUAAACGAUGAGUGCUAAGUGUUAGAGGGUUUCCGCCCUUUAGUGCUGAAGUUAACGCAUUAAGCACUCCGCCUGGGGAGUACGGCCGCCAGGCUGAAACUCAAAGGAAUUGACGGGGGCCCGCACAAGCGGUGGAGCAUGUGGUUUAAUUUGAAGCAACGCGAAGAACCUUACCAGGUCUUGACAUCCUUUGACAACCCUAGAGAUAGGGCUUUUCCUUUGGGAGCAGAGUGACAGGUGGUGCAUGGUUGUUGUCAGCUUGUGUCGUGAGAUGUUGGGUUAAGUCCCGCAACGAGCGCAACCCUUGAUUUUAGUUGCCAUCAUUUAGUUGGGCACUUUAAGGUGACUGCCGGUGACAAACCGGAGGAAGGUGGGGAUGACGUCAAAUCAUCAUGCCCCUUAUGACCUGGGGUACACACGUGGUACAAUGGACGGUACAAAGAGCUGCAAGACCGCGAGGUGGAGCUAAUUUCAUAAAACCGUUUUCAGUUUGGAUUGUAGGGUGCAACUUGCCUACAUGAAGCUGGAAUCGGUAGUAAUCGCGGAUCAGCAUGCCGCGGUGAAUACGUUCCCGGGCCUUGUACACCCCGCCCGUCACACCCCGAGAGUUUGUAACACCCGAAGUCGGUGGGGUAACCUUUUUGGAGCCAGCCGCCUAAGGUGGGACAGAUGAUUGGGGGAAGUCGAACAAUGAGCUUAGGG